AUGAUCGAAUAUAUGUGCUGUUUUUUCUCAUUUUUCCCUUUUGUUUUUGUUUUUUGGUUUUUGCUCUUUCGACCCAUGCAGAGGAUUGUAUCAAAGGAUAAACGGCGGAACAGGAAAAGGGCUGCUGAGCGGUGUGUUCGUAGUCGCAUUGUUCUUGAUGGUGAGGAAGUAGGGUUGGAGGAUGAUACCGAAUCCCGUGUUGCAAAGCGAGCCAGACCGAAAGGAAAAGGCAAAUCAUCUUAUGGGGGUGGCCCAACCUCUGCAGAAGCUGCUGAGGUGGGUGAAGUUGGAGUUGAAGGGAAUGAAGGAAACGUUCCUUAG
rnacentral:rRNA from 1 species